GAGAGCCGGAUGACGGGAGACUGUCACGUCCGGUUCCGUGGGAGCGCAGGGGGGAGUUCCCUCGCGCGACCUGAU
rnacentral:ncRNA from 2 species